rnacentral:lncRNA from 1 species
UUUCACCAUGACAAUGGUGAACUAAACCCUUUGCUGUUGGGGAACAAUGUAAUCUUUUGAAACUCUCAUAUAUUCAAAUUCUUAUUUAUAUCAUAUGCUUGUCAUAUACUUGUUUAUCAAUUGUUGGGUUCUCAUCUUUGCUUAAUGCUUUUAUUGUUUAACUCAUUCAUUAAAAAGUUGUUUGUCUUUAUCGAUAUGGGGACAUACGGUAAUGUCAUGAACUGGUGAGAAAUUCCUUGAUUAUGCUAAUACCGCCUAGGGAUAGGGGUAGGACGAUCAAUUGUAUUUUGCUUCUGUUCACAUUGCAUUAUUAGUUACUAG